AUGAAGCUGAACAUCUCCUUUCCAGCUACUGGCUUCUGGAAAUUCAUUGAAAUGGACGAUGAAUGCAAACUUCAUAUUUUCUAUGAGAAUUAUAUGGCCACAAAAGUUGCUACUGACACACUGGGUGAAGAACGGAAAGGUUAUGUGGUCUGAAUCAGUGUUGGAAAUGACAAACAAGAUUUCCCCAUGAAGUGGGAUAUCUUGACCGAUGGCCGGGUCUGCCUGCUACUGAGUAAGGAGCAUUGCUUUUAUAGUCCAAGGAGAACUGGAGAAAGGAAGUACAUUUCUGUUCAGGGUUGCAUUGUGGAUGCCAAUCUGAGCGUUCUCAACUUGGGUAUUGUAAAAAAAAAAAAAAAGGAGAAGAGGAUGUCCCUGGACUGACUGAUACUACAGUACCUCAGCAUCUGGGGCCCAAACAAGCAAGCAGAAUCUGCAAACUUUUCAAUCUGUCUAAAGAAGAUGAUGUUCGCCAAUAUGUUGUAAGAAACUAAGAAGAGAAGAAACCUAGGACCAAAGCACCCAAGAUUCAGAGUCUUGUAACUCCACGUGUCUUGCAACAUAAAUGCCGACAUAUUGCUCUGAAGAAACAGUGCACUAAGAAAAAUAAGAAAGAGGCUGCCAAAUAUGCUAAACUUUUGGCCAAGAGAAUGAAGGAGGCCAAAGAAAAGUGCCAGGAACAGAUUGCCAAGAGAUGCAGGCUGUCCUCUCUGAGAGCUUACACUUCUAAGUCUGAAUCCAGUCAAAAAUAAGAUUUUUUGAGUAAUGAAUAAAUGGGAUCAUAUCUCAAAAAAAAAAAAAAAA